UUAAAAAGCUCGUAGUUGGAUUUCUGGGAGGGUGCCAAUGUCCGCCGACGUGCGUGCGCAGCGGCGCCCUUCCAUCCUUCUGUUAACACCUCUUGGCAUUCAUUUGCUGGUGGUGGGCUCAGAUAUUUUACCUUGAGAAAAUUAGAGUGUUUCAGGCAGGCUUGGCCGGAAUACAUUAGCAUGGAAUAAUGGAAUAGGACUACGGUCUCUUUGUUGGUUUGAGGGACUGCAGUAAUGAUUAAUAGGGAUAGUUGGGGGCAUUAGUAUUUAAUUGUCAGAGGUGGAAUUCUCGGAUUUGUUAAAGACUAACUUAUGCGAAAGCAUUUGCCAAGGAUGUCUUCAUUAAUCAAGAACGAAAGUUAGGGGAUCAAAGACGAUCAGAUACCGUC
rnacentral:rRNA from 1 species